UUACAGAUUGCAGAAGAGGGUUGUUGG
rnacentral:piRNA from 1 species